rnacentral:rRNA from 1 species
GUAUGGUGCUAGCGUUAUCCGGAUUUACUGGGUGUAAAGGGAGCGUAGGUGGCAAGGCAAGCCAGAAGUGAAAACCCGGGGCUCAACCGCGGGAUUGCUUUUGGAACUGUCAUGCUAGAGUGCAGGAGGGGUGAGCGGAAUUCCUAGUGUAGCGGUGAAAUGCGUAGAUAUUAGGAGGAACACCGGAGGCGAAGGCGGCUCACUGGACUGUAACUGACACUGAGGCUCGAAAGCGUGGGGAGCAAACAGGAUUAGAUACCCUGGUAGUCCACGCGGUAAACGAUGAAUACUAGAUGUCGGGUAGCAAAGCUAUUCGGUGUCGUCGCAAACGCAAUAAGUAUUCCACCUGGGGAGU